rnacentral:tRNA from 1 species
AGGUCUGUAGCUCAACUGGAUAGAGCACCGGUCUCCAAAACCGGGGGUUGGGGGUUCAAGUCCCUCCAGACCUGCCA